rnacentral:tRNA from 1 species
GCGCGAUUAGCUCAGCUGGUUAGAGCGCACGACUGAUACUCGUGAGGUCCCAGGUUCGAUCCCUGGAUCGCGCACAA